AACGCACCUUGCACCUUCCAGUAUUCUGGAGGGUAUGCCCGGUUGAGUGUCUUGAAUAUCUCAAGCCUCCCGUUUUUGAUAACCGUCAAACGCGACGUCCUGGACUUUGGACUGGGUGGCGUCGUGAAUGCGGUUGAACUCGGGUUGGCAUUGGAACUGAGCGCACUUGCAAGGCCCAUCUGGGGUCAGGCUCGCUCGAAAUUCAUUAGCUUGGACCUCUUUCGAUUCCAAUCGGUGUGAUAAGUUUCAUCGCCGUUGGAGCCGAAGUCGUAGGCGGCUUCAAAUCGUCUUCGGACAAUCAUUUGACUUUUACACCUCAACUCGGGUAGGACUACCCGCUGAACUUAA
rnacentral:rRNA from 1 species